GAUGAACGCUAGCGGCAGGCCUAACACAUGCAAGUCGAGGGAGAAGCCCUUUCGGGGGCAGAAACCGGCGCACGGGUGCGUAACGCGUAUGCAACCUACCUUUCACAGGGGGAUAGCCCGAAGAAAUUUGGAUUAACACCCCAUAAUAUUAUUGGAUGGCAUCAUUUGAUAAUUAAAACUGCGGUGGUGAAAGAUGGGCAUGCGUCCUAUUAGCUAGUUGGAGUGGUAACGGCACCCCAAGGCUACGAUAGGUAGGGGUCCUGAGAGGGAGAUCCCCCACACUGGUACUGAGACAGGGACCAAACUCCUACGGGAGGCAGCAGUGAGGAAUAUUGGUCAAUGGUCGGAAGACUGAACCAGCCAUGCCGCGUGCAGGAAGAAUGCCUUAUGGGUUGUAAACUGCUUUUAUAUGGGAAGAAUAAGGUGUACGUGUACAUUGAUGACGGUACCAUAUGAAUAAGCAUCGGCUAACUCCGUG
rnacentral:rRNA from 1 species